UUAAUGAUAUUAAUUGUUUUAAUCCAUUAGAUAGUUGCAAAUAUUUAUUGGGUUAGAAUUAAUUAUAUAGCCAAUUGAACCGGCCAUCCGUAAUCGUGGUUUAGGUUUGAUUAGUGGUAAAUUGACACAUCAGGGUCAAGGGAAAAACAGUCUUAAUUCAAUAAUCCUGCGUCAGAGUUUAUUGGUUUUGAAUCGGGUUUCUCUAGAUAUUAAUGCUGUCGGCUCAUUAAAUCUAUAGAGCGUCUCUUACGGUUGUCAGUCGAUUAGGGUAGUAAUUAGUGAAGCGUCUUCCUGGUUACCGAAUAAUUAAGGAGAAAUAAGAUCACGUCAGAAGCGUCUUCGGUGGUUAUAACUGGUUUGUUUGCAUGAUUUAAAGUUAUUUUUGCAUCGAUGAUCGGAAUAAUUGAGCUAGGGUGGACUUAAUUGAUUGCUGGAAUUCUUUUAUUAAUUGUUGGAAUUUUUAUUCAUCUUUUAGUUAAUUGGAAAAAUUGGUUUAUUCGGAUUUUAUUUAUUUAAUUUUAAGUUUAGUAUUUUCUAUAUUUUCUUCUCAAAAUUUCGUGGUUACUUUGCAGACUUUAAUUGGAGAAAUUCUCGCCAGUCCCUUGGGAGACGAUUUUGCUUACUGCUGUCUGCGCAGUGUGGGCAUACCGGCUGACUGCCGGAUAUUUUUGGUGUAAAACGACGCACCA
rnacentral:lncRNA from 1 species